CCAACAUGGAUAUCCUGUGAGGUUGCUCUCUCAGGCUCUGUCCUCGUGGCGUAUGGGAGCGUAGCGUCUUUCUGGCGCAAUGACGUACAGUCCCGUUCCACAAUGUUGGAGAACAUGCAUGUCCCCAGCCUUCAGGUUGGUGCGGAUGGCGUCCUGUAUAUUCCUACAACUUCCCAGAGCCUCUAGGCCCUGACUGGGGAGAAAAACCAUGCAGGAUACAGAU